rnacentral:rRNA from 1 species
ACUUAAAAGCUAGCUAAUGACCAUAUUUAAAGUAUUAACAUUCAUACAUAUUAAUUUAACAAAAGUAAAUAAUAAACCAUUCUCCACAUCUAGUAUAGGCGAUAGAAAGAAAACAAUAAGCAAUAAACCAAGUACCGCAAGGGAACGCUGAAAGAGCAAUGAAAGAAUUCAGUAAAGUAUAACGAAGCAGAGAUAAAUCCUCGUACCUUUUGCAUCAUGUUUUAACAAGAAUAAAUUAAGCAAAAUGCCUUCUAGUUUAAACCCCCGAAACUAAGUGAGCUACUUCAAGACAGCCUGGGAACAGGGCAAACACAUCUCUGUGGCAAAAGAGCGUGAAGAUCUUCAAGUAGAGGUGACAAACCUAACGAACUGAGUUAUAGCUGGUUGUCUGACAAAUAGAUAAAAGUUUAGCCUUUUGUUUUCUAAAUUUAAAUAUGUCACAACCACAGAAUACAAAAGAGUUAUUCAUAAGGGGUACAGCCCUUAUGAAAAAGGAUACAGCCUUACCAGGUGAUUAACGAACAUGUUAAACAAAGUUAGUGUUUUAGUGGGCCUAAAAGCAGCCAUCUAAAAAGAAAGCGUCAAAGCUCAAAUACUUAAAGCACUUUUAAUAAUGAUCUUAAAUCAAACCUCCCUUUAUUCAUCAGACCUCUCCAUCAGCCAUGGAGGAGAUCAUGCUAAUAUGAGUAAUAAGAAAGUUUUCUCCUAGCACCCCUGUAACUAAGAACGGAACUCCCACUUAAGAUUACCGGUCCCAAAUGAAGAGGGUCAAAAAUUACAAAAAGAUAACAAGUAGUUUAUUUUAAUAUUACCGUUAACCCUACACUGGCGUGCAUCAAAGGAAAGAUGAAAAGAAUAAGAAGGAACUCGGCAAAUAUAUCAAAGCCCCGCCUGUUUACCAAAAACAUCGCUUCUUGACCUACAAAAAUAAGAAGUCUCGCCUGCCCUGUGAAUAUAUUUAACGGCCGCGGUAUUCUGACCGUGCAAAGGUAGCGCAAUCACUUGUCUUUUAAAUAAAGACCUGUAUGAAUGGCAUAACGAGGGCUUAACUGUCUCCUUUUUCCCAUCAAUGAAAUUGAUCAUCUCGUGCAGAAGCGAGAAUGCAACCAUAAGACGAGAAGACCCUAUGGAUCUUUAGCCGCAAGAGUAGAACACCCUCAAACUACUUAAACAACAAGUAGGACCCGUUGUAACCUGCUCAAGUGGCUUUGGUUGGGGCGACCACGGAGUAUAGAUUAACCUCCACAAGGAAUAAGGAAACCUCUUUAAUCCAAGGGCGACAGCCCUAGGAAAUAGAAUUUCUAACCCCCCGAUCCGGCAAGGCCGAUUAAUGGACUGAGUUACCCUAGGGAUAACAGCGCAAUCCUCUUUUAGAGCCCAUAUCGACAAGGGGGUUUACGACCUCGAUGUUGGAUCAGGACAUCCUAGUAGUGCAAAAGCUAUUAAGGGUUCGUUUGUUCAACGAUUAAAGUCCUACGUGAUCUGAGUUCAGACCGGAGUAAUCCAGGUCAGUUUCUAUCUAUGAAACAUUUUAUCCUAGUACGAAAGGGCCGGAUAAAAAAGGCCAAUAGUUAGACUAAGCCUUACUCUAAACUGAUGAAAACAAAUAAAGCAACAAAAGAGUGUGCUUAACAAGAAAAGAAAAUUCUUC